CGCAUCUGUGCAUGCAGCAUAUCAAUAAGCGGAGGAAAAGAAACUAACAAGGAUUCCCUUAGUAACGGCGAGUGAAGCGGGAAGAGCUCAAAUUUGAAAUCUUCAAGGUUUUACCUUGACGAAUUGUAGUUUAAAGAAGUGUUUCUCUGUUGAAGUUUUGGUAAAAGUUCUUUGGAAUAGGACAUCAUAGAGGGUGAGAAUCCCGUAUUUGACCAUUAUUUUCAGCUGUGUGAUACACUUUCAAAGAGUCGGAUUGUUUGGGAAUGCAGUCCAAAAUGGGUGGUAAAUUUCAUCUAAAGCUAAAUAUUGGCGAGAGACCGAUAGCGAACAAGUACCGUGAGGGAAAGAUGAAAAGAACUUUGAAAAGAGAGUUAAACAGUACGUGAAAUUGUCAAAAGGGAAGCGUUUGACACCAGUGUUGUUUUCUCGAAAAUCAAUUAAAAAGAGUUAGAUUUUGUUGUGUAUUGACCUUAACAGCUUGCAUUUCAAUUUUCUUGCUUUUUUUAAUGCACUUUUCGUUUAACAAGUCAACAUCAGUUUCUUUUGUUGUAAAAAGGUCAUUGGAAGGUGGCUUUCUUUUCGGAGAAAGUGUUUAUAGCCUUUGACUCCUGCAAUCGGAGAGACUGAGGUCUGCAGCGUAGAUCCUUCGGGGUUAGAUACAUUUGUGCUAAGUUAUAGCUUUUUAUAGACAACUUGUUGACUAUGAUUAGUCUUGUAGCUUACUCGCUUAUGCUAUUUUACCUACGCUUAGGAUGUUGACGCGCGUGUGUGCGUG
rnacentral:rRNA from 1 species